CCUACGGGUGGCAGCAGUUAGGAAUAUUCCACAAUGGGGGCAACCCUGAUGGAGCAACGCCGCGUGGAGGAUGAAGGCCUUCGGGUUGUAAACUUCUUUUCUAUGCGAAGAAUAUGACGGUAACAUAGGAAUAAGGGUCUGCUAACUACGUGCCAGCAGCCGCGGUCAUACGUAGGACCCAAGCGUUAUCCGGAUUGACUGGGCGUAAAGAGUUGCGUAGGUGGUAGUUCAAGCGAAUAGUGAAAUCUUGUGGCUCAACCAUAAGGCUAUUAUUCGAACUGGACCACUCGAGAAUGGAAGAGGUAUCUGGAAUUUCUCAUGUAGGGGUAAUAUCCGCAGAUAUGAGAAGGAACACCAAUGGCGUAGGCAGGAUACUGGUCCAUUUCUGACACUAAGGCACGAAAGCGUGGGGAGCGAACCGGAUUAGAUACCCUAGUAGU
rnacentral:rRNA from 1 species